AUCGGCAUCACGUAUACUAAAAAAAAUUGGAAUGAUACAGAGAAGAUCAGCAUGGGCCCUGUGCAAAGAUGGCAUGGAAAUUUGUGAAGUGUUCUGUACUUAU